UACGUAGGGAGCAAGCGUUGUUCGGAUUACUGGGCGUAAAGGGCGCGUAGGCGGCGCGACAAGUCACUUGUGAAAUCUCCGGGCUUAACUCGGAACGGCCAAGUGAAACUGUCAAGCUAGAGUGCAGAAGGGGCAAUCGGAAUUCUUGGUGUAGCGGUGAAAUGCGUAGAUAUCAAGAGGAACACCUGAGGUGAAGACGGGUUGCUGGGCUGACACUGACGCUGAGGCGCGAAAGCCAGGGGAGCAAACGGG
rnacentral:rRNA from 1 species